UACGGGGGGAGCAAGCGUUGUUCGGAUUUACUGGGCGUAAAGGGCGCGUAGGCGGCCACCGCAAGUCGACUGUGAAAUCUCCGGGCUUAACCCGGAAAGGUCAGCCGAUACUGCGGGGCUAGAGUGCAGAAGGGGCAACUGGAAUUCUCGGUGUAGCGGUGAAAUGCGUAGAUAUCGAGAGGAACACCUGCGGCGAAGGCGGGUUGCUGGGCUGACACUGACGCUCAGGCGCGACAGCGUGGGGAGCAAACAGG
rnacentral:rRNA from 1 species